CGCGCCUCCAGGCAGAGGAGGGGCGGAAGGCGUGUCUGUGGCGCGCUCCCGGGGCGGGCUCGGCCUGGGUUACCCGCCGCUUCUGAGCUGGUAUCCGAGUUUGCAGGUAGCGCUGAAAAAUGUAAGGGGACAGCUCUAAGUGUGGCUAAAGAGAGGUACUACUGUACUCUGCAGCUAUUAGGAAAACAAGAAAGGUGACAUAACUGACCACAGCUUUGCAGUCCUCAAAACAUGUUUGUGUGUCAAACAGUUUUCCAAAAUGCAGCAUAAAAUAUGAGUACGAGGAUUGGCCUCACUGCAAGACCCAGGAGAACUCAUGUUUGUAAGUGUUACCUUAAAUCAGUGAUUCCCAGUCCUAUCACACCCAAUGCUACCUUCUACCAAAUGU
ensembl:lincRNA